rnacentral:rRNA from 1 species
UACGUAGGGUGCGAGCGUUGUCCGGAGUUACUGGGCGUAAAGGGUGCGUAGGCGGCCCAGUAAGUCAGGUGUGAAAAACCCUGGCUCAACCGGGGUAUUGCACUUGAAACUGGUGGGCUUGAGUGCAGGAGAGGGAAGUGGAAUUCCUGGUGUAGCGGUGAAAUGCGUAGAUAUCAGGAGGAACACCAGUGGCGAAGGCGACCUUCUGGACGGUUACUGACGCUGAGACGCGAAAGCGUGGGGAGCAAACAGG